GUAGGGGGGCAAGCGUUGUCCGGGAAUUAUUGGGGCGUAAAGCGCGCGCAGGCGGUCUCUUAAGGUCUGAUGUGAAAGCCCACGGGCUCAACCGUGGAGGGUCAUUGGAAACUGGGAGACUUGAGUGUAGGAGAGGAAAGUGGAAUUCCACGUGUAGCGGUGAAAUGCGUAGAUAUGUGGAGGAACACCAGUGGCGAAGGCGACUUUCUGGCCUACAACUGACGCUGAGGCGCGAAAGCGUGGGGAGCAAACAGGAUUAGAUACCCUGGUAGUCCACGCUGUAAACGAUGAGUGCUAGGUGUUAGGGGUUUCGAUGCCCUUAGUGCCGAAGUUAACACAUUAAGCACUCCGCCUGGGGAGUACGGCCGCAAAGGCUG
rnacentral:rRNA from 1 species